GAAAUGCGAUAAGUAGUGUGAAUUGCAGAAUUCAGUGAAUCAUCGAAUCUUUGAACGCACAUUGCGCCUUCUGGUAUUCCGGAAGGCAUGCCUGUCCGAGCGUCAUUAAAAACCACUCAAGUAGUUUUGCUUGGUUAUGAAAGAAGAGUUUGCUUGCAAAUUCCCUUUCGAAAUUCAAUGGCGGAGAGUCUCAUGAUUCCAGCGUAGUAAUAACUUAUUCGCUUGGUCAUUGUAACAAUCCUGCCUUCAACCCCCAAUUCUAAUGUUUGACCUCGGAUCAGGUAGGGAUACCCGCUGAACUUAA
rnacentral:misc_RNA from 1 species